AUUGAACGCUGGCGGCAGGCCUAACACAUGCAAGUCGAGCGGAUGAAGGGAGCUUGCUCCUGGAUUCAGCGGCGGACGGGUGAGUAAUGCCUAGGAAUCUGCCUGGUAGUGGGGGAUAACGUCCGGAAACGGGCGCUAAUACCGCAUACGUCCUGAGGGAGAAAGUGGGGGAUCUUCGGACCUCACGCUAUCAGAUGAGCCUAGGUCGGAUUAGCUAGUUGGUGGGGUAAAGGCCUACCAAGGCGACGAUCCGUAACUGGUCUGAGAGGAUGAUCAGUCACCCUGGACUUGGGACCCGGCCAGACUCCUACGGGAGGCAGCAGUGGGGAAUAUUGGACAAUGGGCGAAAGCCUGAUCCAGCCAUGCCGCGUGUGUGAAGAAGGUCUUCGGAUUGUAAAGCACUUUAAGUUGGGAGGAAGGGCAGUAAGUUAAUACCUUGCUGUUUUGACGUUACCAACAGAAUAAGCACCGGCUAACUUCGUG
rnacentral:rRNA from 1 species